rnacentral:rRNA from 1 species
UACGUAGGGUGCAAGCGUUAAUCGGAAUUACUGGGCGUAAAGCGUGCGCAGGCGGUCUGUUAAGACCGAUGUGAAAUCCCCGGGCUUAACCUGGGAACUGCAUUGGUGACUGGCAGGCUUUGAGUGUGGCAGAGGGAGGUAGAAUUCCACGUGUAGCAGUGAAAUGCGUAGAGAUGUGGAGGAAUACCGAUGGCGAAGGCAGCCUCCUGGGCCAACACUGACGCUCAUGCACGAGAGCGUGGGGAGCAAACAGG